rnacentral:rRNA from 1 species
CCUACGGGUGACAGCAGUGGGGAAUAUUGGUCAAUGGGCGCAAGCCUGACGCAGCAACGCCGCGUGAAGGAAGAAGGCUUUCGGGUUGUAAACUUCUUUUGUCAGGGACGAAGCAAGUGACGGUACCUGACUAAUAAGCCACGGCUAACUCCGUGCCAGCAGCCGCAGUAAUACGUAGGUGGCAAGCGUUAUCCGGAUUUACUGGGUGUAAAGGGCGUGGAGGCGGGACUGCAAGUCAGAUGUGAAAACCACGGGCUCAACCUGUGGCCUGCAUUUGAAACUGUAGUUCUUGAGUGCUGGAGAGGCAGACGGAAUUCCUAGUGUAGCGGUGAAAUGCGUAGAUAUUAGGAGGAACACCAGUGGCGAAGGCGGUCUGCUGGACAGCAACUGACGCUGAGGCGCGAAAGCGUGGGGAGCAAACAGGAUUAGAUACCCCAGUAGUC